UGAGGAAUAUUGCGCAAUGGGCGAAAGCCUGACGCAGCGACGCCGCGUGAAGGAUGAAGGUCUUCGGAUUGUAAACUUCUGUUGAGUGGGAAGAAAGUCUGAUUUCUAAUACAGAUCAGAUAUGACGGUACCACUUUAGAAAGCACCGGCUAACCUCGUGCCAGCAGCCGCGGUAAUACGAGGGGUGCAAGCGUUAUUCGGAAUAACUGGGCGUAAAGGGUGCGUAGACGGUUUGUUAAGCUUGUUGUUAAAUUCCCCAGCCUAACUGGGGGCAUGCGAUGAGAACUGGCAUACUAGAGGAUGAGAGAGAAGAGUGGAAUUUCCGGAGUAGCGGUAAAAUGCGUAGAUCUCGGAAGGAACACCGAUGGCGAAGGCAGCUCUUUGGCUCAUUCCUGACGUUGAGGCACGAAAGCGUGGGGAGCAAACAGGAUUAGAUACCCCCGUAGUCC
rnacentral:rRNA from 1 species